rnacentral:lncRNA from 1 species
AUAGGGUUCUGGGUUGUUAAUGUUGGAAGAGACUUAAAACUUUUUAGUUACUUUGCAGACGGUUGGAAAAGAAAAGUUUACUUGUCCGAAUUCACACAAGUAAUGAAGAGAGAGGAUUUAACUGCUAUGUUAUGGUAUUGAUAAUAGUUAUAGAUUCAUUCCCCAAAAGGGAAUGAACAAAAAGCUGACCGAGAAAAUACUGAGACACACAAGGUGCAGAGACACACAAGGUCACUUUUCAUUUACAUUGCGCCUACAGCAAGUUGUAGUGGGAUCCAAGCCCCGUGGCCUAAUUGUUCGGUGUGUAUUCACAGGCAUGAACUUAAAUCCAAUCCUAAUCCCCCUGAAUUGCGACCUCUCAGCCAGCAGAACGAUGACUUGAGUCACAUGCCCACAGACCAGCUUGAAGCUACAAAUCCCAAAGACUGAGUAUCCCUAUGCACGUGCCCUUUGACUUACGGGAUGCAUUCUUGUCCGUAACAGCAGCUUGCCAAACGUGCAGUGGUAAACAGCUAAUAAAUGUGAUCGUGAUCAUACAGUGAGUUGAGCGAAUUGAUAAACACUCAGAUGUCUUUUCAACACUAGUUUAAAUCCAUUCUGGGAUUUCCCCUCAAAGUAAAAUGUGUGGUUCAGAAAAUCAUGAAAAAUAUCAUUUGUCCUUUGGAGUUUCAUUCCCUAAUAGACAGAUAGGACAAAUAACCACAUCUGAUUCGGAUGUGAAAUAAAAUGGCACAAUUAGUAUGGUACUGGGACUGUGGCAGGGCAGGGAGGGGAGGUUGGGACUGUGGGAGGAAUCUUGCUGAGCUCUCCUUGGCAUUUGUGAAUGGCUAUGAUUCGUGUUUGCUGGUUUAUACAUUUACAUAACUUGUUCUCAUUUAUGGAAAUAUUUGUCUCCUGGGCCCUGAAUAAGUCAGCCUGUGGUUACUGCAACUCUGCAGACUCACCGUCCAAGACUGGGCAGCCCCAUUGGUUCAGGCAUCUGGCGUGGUUGGAGGAGGGCAGAACCCAGGGGGAGGGGGGACCACAGGCCAGCCUGGAAGCAGACGCAGCACGCUCUUUCCAACCCCUCAUGGGAUCUCCCCUCAUAGAGCCACCAUGACUCAAUCACUGGGCCCCGCUGUAGCUGCCUGGCACAGUCGAGUCACUCUCCUAAAGCCCCUCCUUCAGACACCCUAAUCCAACAACCGCUAACGUGAAUCCAUUCACGUAAGCACUGGGGUUCAAAUGUCUGCAAGCGUCUGAAGAGCCGAAUCCUAGCCCAACCAUAACAGGUCUAGUAACAGACAGCAGGUCCCAUGACAAGGCAGAAUCAUCGUGUCACUGCUGAAAAAUUCACCAGAAAAUCCUACGUAUCUGACGAAAGACUCGACUUUCAGAACUGAAGCACACAUUUAUUUGCAAGGCGUCAUAAAUACUCUAUUCCAUUUUGUUUUCACCACAGCGCAUUUUGGGUGCUGUACUGGGUUCUGGAGUCAGACCCUGGCUUGAAGUCACCCUGCACCGCUUAAAACUCACGCCCAUGGCAGAUACUUAACACAGCCACCUCGUAUAUAAAACAGGGAUUAUGACAGCCACCUUGAGAGCUACUUAUUCUAUGAACUGAGGGAAAGCAAUUAAAUGGGACACAGAAUCCAGAAGUGGCUCAACUAAAUGAGGGACUUUCAAAAAGUUGGUGGAAAAUGCAUAUUAUUAUAAAAACUGGGGCUGGCUCCGUGGCACAGUAGGUUAAUCCUCCGCCUGCGGCGCUGGCAUCCCAUAUGGGCACCAAUUCUAGUCCUGGCUGCUCCUCUUCCAAUCCAGCUCUCUGCUGUGGCCUGGGAAAGCAGUAGAAAAUGGCCCAGAUGCUUGGGCCCCUGCACCCACAUGGGAGACCCAGAGGAAGCUCCUGGCUCCUGGCUUCAGAUCGGCGCAGCUCUGGCCCUUGCAGCCAUUUGGGGAGUGAAACAGUGGAUGGAAGACCUCUCUCUCUAUCUCAUCCUCUCACUGUCUGUAACUCUAUAUCUCAAAUCAAUAAAUAAAAUAUUAAAAAAAAAACUAUGUGUGUA